rnacentral:rRNA from 1 species
UACGUAGGUGGCAAGCGUUGUCCGGAUUUAUUGGGUUUAAAGGGUGCGUAGGCGGCCCUGUAAGUCAGUGCUGAAAUAUCCCAGCUUAACUGGGAGGGUGGCAUUGAUACUGCGGGGCUAGAGUACAGAUGAGGUAGGCGGAAUUGACGGUGUAGCGGAGAAAUGCUUAGAUAUCGUCAAGAACACCUAUAGCGAAGGCAGCUUACUAGGCUGUAACUGACGCUGAGGCACGAAAGUGUGGGGAUCAAACAGG